CAAAACAAAAUGAAGACAUUGCUGACAGAAGAUUUGCAUGCGAAAUUCGUGCAACUAGAGAAGGAGAAAAGUCAAUAGACUCUGUUGAGUAUUGAGCACAGCUUGAAGAACCCCCUACAAUGGUAAGCUUGGAAGAAAAGGUGGAGAAACUUAAGAAACAGCUCAGUGAAAUGAGAUGGUCAAAUCAAAUCAUGAAAAACUCACCUGAGGAGAGUCAUCUACCUCAAAAGGGAAGAUAAGUGAACUGGCCUAUCAUAUAGAGGAGAGACAGAACUGUAAUCAUUCUCUCCUCACCCUCACGGGACAAAACCAUUGAGAAGAUCCGGGAAUCUUUAAAAAUGGUUGAAAGAGUUAAAGAGAAGACAGCUCCAAAAGUGAUCAAUUUGAGAAGAACAUCAGACUACACCAAGCAAGAACCCAGAGAGGACAUAGAAUGGCCUGUCAUACCCUGGAAGCUGUCACUAAUGAUCUAUAUAUAGUAAACAGAGCACUUGAAGAAGCAGAAAAAUGAGAAAAACAGUGUGUGACUGUUUCCACCCUUAUAGCUCGUGGAUUUUAGAGAGUCUAUAAAGAAGAUGAGAGGCUUUAACAUUGAAAUUUCAGGCAAAGAAAUCACUAAUCAACUCAAGCCCAUCAUACAAACUUAUGAAAUUUCUUCAUUGACAUCUAACAGCAGAUUGAAGGCUACUGGUAAUCGUAAUACUGGCCAAGAGAACAAAUGGCACAAAGACAUUUGGUGCUUUUUUUUUUCUUCACUGUCACCAACCAGACCUAAUUUGUUUUUUGUAAUUUUUUUGUUUAUUGUUUGUAUAUACGGCCGGUAGAAAAUAGCUAGAGAAUGAAUACAAUAUUUUUGGCAUUUUCAUUUAAGUAUUCUUUGAUGUUUGUCACUUGAUUUUUUUCUUUUCUUUCUUAUUUCACUCUUUCACCUUGUUCCUCUCUGCUUUUGCUGUAACUUGUUCUUGACUUGUCAUUUGUAACUUAUUUGAGAUAGUCUAAACCUGAGAUUUCAUCACCUUGGGAACUCCACUGAUACAUGUCAGCAAUUUUGUAUUUGAUAGCAUUGGCUUAUAUUUAUAUUAAAACUGUAAAUUAUUGUCCUACUUACGUAGGAUGCUGACAAAGUUGGACGGCAAACCCAGAGUAGUACAGCUAGUAUGUGUAAGAGUACGAUUUGAACCUAGGUCUUCCUAUCUCCAGGGCAAACUCUUAUUGCACUAAAAGCAAGACAUUUGUUCUUCAAUAUGUCAUUAUCUUCUUUCUGCAUAGUUACAUUAUUUUUGAUCCCUACUAAAAGACAUAUGCAUUGUCAAGUUGAAAAUUUAUAGUUAUUUUAAUCUCUCUAGUA